rnacentral:misc_RNA from 1 species
GUAAACUCUACCUUUCUUCACACCUCCUGCCACAUUUAUCCAUAUAGAUGUAAUAGCACUAGAUGAUGAGGAAUCAACCUCUGAGUAGGAUGUGUCUGACGCCAUUCAUCCAAGCCUCUAUGAAAUUGAACCAUUUUUCGUUUUGUGGGCUGCAAAACUCAUAGAACCUCCGGUGUGUAAGCAGCCACCCUUUACGGAUGUCCAAGCUACCUCUGCUCGCUCACACUUCUCCUUAAAUUCAGUAGUGUUCCAUGUCUCCAAAAAUUUAACCCAUAUGUCUGCUCGUAGUCAACUGGGCUUUUCAUUAUUUUUCAAGCUAUAAAC